rnacentral:rRNA from 1 species
CACAAGGGGUGAAGCCUGCGNCGUUCAAUUGGAGUCAACGCCAGGAAACUUACCAGGAGAGACAGCAGGUUGAGGGUCAGACUGAAGAUCUUACCUGACGAGCUGAGAGGAGGUGCAUGGCCGUCGUCAGCUCGUGCCGUGAGGCGUCCUGUUAAGUCAGGCAACGAGCGAGACCCCUAUUGGUAAUUGCUAUCUACUAUCGCAAGAUUGGAGAGGCUAGUUACCGAGACUGCCGCCGAUAAGGCGGAGGAAGGCGGGGGCCACGGCAGGUCAGUAUGCCCCGGAACUCCUGGGCCACACGCGGGCUGCAAUGGUAGGGACAAUGGGUUCCGACCUCGAAAGAGGGAGGCAAUCCUCAAACCCUACCCCAGUUGUGAUUGAGGGUUGAAACCCGCCCUCAUGAAUAUGGAAUCCCUAGUAACCGCGUGUCAUCACCGCGCGGUGAAUACGUCCCUGCUCC